UCCGUUGUAGUCUAGUUGGUUAGGAUACUCGGCUCUCACCUGAGAGACCAGGGUUCGUUCUCCGGCAACGGUG
rfam:Ipomoea nil DNA, scaffold: scaffold0438, cultivar: Tokyo-kokei standard.